CUAUGACCACCUCAAUUAGUCAUAAAGCAUACAUCCAACACACAUGUCAUAUUACUAACCAUGCAUGGCAAACAGACGUAAGCACAUUAUAAACAUUAGACAUGACAUGAAUAGCUAUGCUUACAAGCCAUAAUCAAUAUGAGCCACCUCUCAUGGCCAUAUGCAUAUAACUCAAUAUAAGCCAACACAUUUGGCCAAAGAAAAAUAAUGCAUGUCAAUCAACUAGAUCCCUAUACAUGCCAUUCACUUGAAAAUUUCUAAUAUAUACUUCAUUUUUUCCAAAGGCAGCGACUUGAUAGCGUGAUGCUGCCUCCGACGAUCUCCAACUCUGAGCAAACCUGAAAACACUAAAGGAAAGGAAAGGAAAUGAGUAAGCUUUAUAGCUUAGUAAGACUGUAUGAAAAUAAUAAACAACUUAUCAACUUGCUUCUCAUGGUAACACAAUCCUAUUUGCAUUUUCUCAUGUUCCAGUCAAACUAUUUUCACGAGUCAUAGUCACUAAAUUAUUUAUAUAUGGAGCUACGAAACUCCAAAUUAAUUUCCGCUAAUUUUUUCAAAAACUAGACUCACAUAUAUUAUUACCAUAAAAUUUUUAGAAUUUUUGGUUCAGCCAAUUAAUACAGUUUAUUCCUUAAAUUUACCCUUUUUAGUUGUCUGAUAGCUCUGACUCCUCUUCACUAAAAAUUAAUUAUCUCAUAAUACAGGACUUGGAUGAUGUUCCCAUCUAUUUCUCUUGAAAAUAGACUCAUUAAAAAUUCUAAUUAUAUAAAUUAAAACUCAUAACUAUUUUUUUACAAUUUUCAAUGAUUUUCUCAAAUCAGAACAGAGGAUUUCGAGGUCAUUCUGACUCUGUCUCACAACAAUUUAAAUAUUUCAUAAUAUGAACCUCUUUUGCUUACACCGUUUCUUCUAUGUAAAAUUAGACUCAUUAGGAUUUAAUUUCAUAUUUUUUUCAACCUCUAACGCAAUUUCCACAAUUUUUUGUGGAUUUUCAAAGUCAAACUAUGGCUGCUGUCCAAAACUGUUUUAGUGUAAAUUAAUGAUACUAAGUUUAUCACACCAUAUUAAUUCACUUUCACCAUAUUGGUAAGGUUACAUAUUCAUACAUCAUAAGUAUAGACCUAUAAUCACAAGGUCAUCACAAAAUCAUUCUCAUAAGCAUGAAUUACCUAUUUACAUAUUCACUAAAGGUGCAUCAUAAAUUGAAAUCAUUUCUCAUGGGCUUGACAUACAUACCUGUGUUACUCAACAUGCUCAUUUUCAUUUCUUACUAAUCAUGUAACAUGAAUUGAAUUCACAUCUCAUCAAUUUCAUGUAAGUACCUGUACCACUCACAAUAUGGUCAUAACCUUUCUCGUUUAGCUUAAACCAUAACUCUCACCGUUGAACCAUUCGGAAAGCUAUCAGAUAUUCACUAAGCCUCAAACAUAGGGUAUAAUGCUAUGCCAUGUCUCAGACAUGGUCUUACAUUGGCUCAUCCAUCAAGUCGAUGCCAAGUUCCAGAUAUGGUCUUACACUGACUAUUGAAAUCGAGGCUGACGCCAUGUCCCAAACAUGGUCUUACACUAGCUCUCACAUAUCCGUGCCAAUGCCAUGUCCCAAACAUGGUCUUACACUGAAAAAUCUCGUAGCCGAUGCAUGUUCCAGACAUGUCUUACACUAGCUUACAUCUCGAGGCCAAUGCAUGUCCCAGACAUGUCUUACACUAGCACUAAUCUCAAUGCGGAUGCCAUGUCCAAGACAUGGUCUUACACUAGCUCACAAUAACCCAUACGUCAUGGCAUGAAUAUCCGAUUUAUUCCCUAUGGUUCAAAAGGAAAUUCUACUAUCUCAAUUAUCAUUAUGCAUUCUCAUUUCCACAAUCAAGCAUUUCAUGCUAUAUCAAUUUAGCACAUAAUAAUAAUGUAGUUGUAUUAUUUACAUACAACUUACUCGUUUCAAUGGAAUAUCAUAUUCCAUCAAAUCUCCAAGCAUUCAAUCAACACAUAAAUGUCAUUUACAUUUAACAUCACUUUCUCAUAUACAAUAUCAUCAACAUAAACUUUAAUACAAUCAUGAAAAGAUAUAUUUUCAAGUAUAAUAACAAUAGCAUAAAUAUCAUGCUCAUUUAAUCACACGGACUUACAUCAAAUGAAAUUUCGGCUAAUUAUUCUCUUUUUGUCUUUAACCACGCACUUUCUCGAUUUAAGCCCAAAUCUCGAUUUUCUUGAUCUAAAAUGAUGAAAUUCACUAUUUAAUUAAUGUACUAAUCAUUUCGGACCUAAAACAUAUUUUAGAAAAAUUCACAUUUUUACCCCUAAACUUUUUCAUAAUUACUAAUUUACCCCAACGCUCGGAAAUUGAAAUUUAUUACAUUUCUAAAAGAUUUAAGACAUGAUGAACAUUUUUCUCUUCUAUGGCAGCCUCAAAUUCUCACUAUUUCAUGCUUUUAUAAACAUUAACAACUUUUACUAAUUAACCCGUUUUAACCAUUUUCAACGAAAAUCACUUAACAAAAAUCGUUCUCCUAACCUCAGGCAUCCAUAUUCUACCAUUAAACAUCAAAAUGCAUAAUUAUCUAGCAUGGGUCAAUUUUUUAAACUUCAUUUUUCAUGCAAAUAAAUGGUAGAAAUAGAAAGGUUAAGCUUUUAAGAUCUCAAAAAUACGAAGAACAUUUAAAACGGGACUCAAAUGCACUUACAAUUGAGCUUUGAAAAGCUUGAAACCCUAGCCAUGGAGUCAUGUAAAUUUCGGCAGCCAUAUAAAGAAGAUGAGCAGAUUUUUGGGCUUUUAUUUUGUCUUUUAUGCCUUAAAACACCCAAAUGACUAAAAUGCCCUUUUUGCUAACCCUUCAAUUUACCCUUCCAUGUCUAGUUUUGUCCAUACCAAAAUAUGAUGGUCUAUUUUCCAUUUAAAGACCUCUAGUUUAAACCCCCAUUUCAAACAAGUACUUAUAUUCUAGAACUCAUAUUUUGCAAUUAAUGCUAUUUAAUCCCAAUAAUAAAAUUAGGCACUUUAUCAAUAAAAUUUACUUAACAAAAUUUGCACACAAUCACUCAAACAUAUCAUGGACUCUAAAAUAGUCAUAAAAUAAAUAUUUCUACUUUUGAUUUGUAGUCUCGUAACCACUAUUCUGACUAGGCCCUAUUUCAGGCUAUUACAUACCGAGCUAUCGCAGACAAAAGCCAACAACGAAAGAGAAACAACAAAAAAGAGCAAAAGAAGAAGAAGUUGGAUUAGGGAGAUAACAAGGCAGAGAGACGAGGAAUUACAGCAAAAUUUGGGCAGCAAGAAGGGACAGAAAAGGCAGUGGUAAACAAUAAAAAAUGGAAAAAUAAGAAGUGGCAGAGAGCAGAAGAAACGUCAGUUUCCUGAAGAGAGAAUUUUGGAAAACAGGUGAGUUUUACCAUAUCCCUUAUUUUUCUCCCUCAAAUCCUACUAACAUCCCACCACUCGGAGUCCAACAUCAGCACAACUCUAGCCAAAAUUAAGAGCAAAAAUUCUACCCCCUCGCCAAUGUUGAGAAUUGAACACAAGACUCUUAACUAAUUAACACUCCACUUAACCAUUAAACCAACAGGCCCAUUUUGUUAAUUAUUUGUAAACUUUUAACUAAAAGCCUACUAACCAGAGAUAGGGCUUAAUUCAUAAAAAUAUCAAAAUCUACCCAAGUCAUGGCUCGAACUUGGGACCUCACACACACACCCAAAACACCUAACCACUGAGGCAGAUACACAGUUGUGUCACGUAUACCCAAAAACAAAAAAAUAAAAUUUUGGGACGUUUCAAAAUUAAUGUAUGAAGAAUAAAUGAAUGGCUUCAAUUUUUACGAUUUCACAAAAAUUCAAUUCAUAUGGAAAAUCUGCAUCAAGUCACAAACCUUAGUGCUCUUAUUUAGCAAGAAGAUAUUAAGAAUCUUAAAUAGUUAGUGUUGUUUUACGGUGCUACUUACGACACAUAUAUAUGUAGAGAAACCUAUUUCACCGAAUAGGUAUUUAUAUUUGAGUAAAGUGUUAUAUUAAACUUAUUCAAGACACUCAAUGUACAAAGGCAACAUAGUUGUUAGUAUAAAAUGGAAAGAAAGUAAGUAGUCGUAAAGAAACUAACAGCACAAAAAAAAUAUACUGCAGCAAGAACUGUCUACCUAUGUUUCAGUAAUCGACUUCCUUACAAGUUCUUUCAAUAGAUAGUGCACCUAAAGAUCAAAGCACAUGGCAUUCAACAGUCAGAAUAAGAGUCAUAUAAGAAUUUCACCUUUAGCAAACUUAGGAAACAAUCAAUAGAAUUUAACCAAUUCAAAAGUUUAAAAAUUUAUUUGCUACAAAGAACUAAAAUUAACCAAUUCGAAAAGAGUAAUAAAUAAAAUUGAUAAAAUUAAAAUAUAAGAACUAAAUUCACAACUUAUACAGAACUAAUGACAAAAUUUUAACCUACAAAUAAUGAUUUCAUGCUCAAUUCAUAGCUCUAAAUUAUGAACAAUUCUUAAAUGAAUACAACUGUAAAAUAAUUAGCCUUGGUUACAACAUUUUGGUCUUCCCCAAACAAGAAUCUUACACAACUACUCAAGAGGUUGGCAACAUUUCAUCAAAGGAUAAAAAAAAUAAUAAGUCAAAAAACAAACAGCAGAGUGAUUGUUACAUGCAUACCACAAGAGGGAAAAUCAAGUAUUGUUAAUGACCUAUAAACGCCUUAUGGCCUAUCGGGACAUUACCUGGCGAUAGAGUGGUGACUGGAACUUAAAGUCCACAAGGAAGUAAAGGCUGCAAGUUCCUGGGACUGGUACAGGAAUGAAUUCCCAAAUGUUUAUCAAAUGAUCGAAAAGGUUACUUUUUGAUGCAGUUAUACAGGGUCAGAUCAUCAGUAAGGGAAAAAAAUUAAAUUCAUGGACAAAAAAAAGGAUCAUCUAUACAAAUAAAUUCAUAUCAUAAAAAGCUAUUAACAAGGUUAUCCUAGAAGAACUAACACCUAUAAACAUAAAUUCAUUUGUCUGUCUAUACACAUUGGAAACUAAUUCCUAUCUAGCCUAUAAACAACUAACACCUUGCAUAUAAACAUGUUUCAGUAAGACUUAACUCACAAGAAGAUAGAAGAGAGUUUGAAAAUGUUAAAUGUUAACUAACAUUGAGUUCUGGAAUUGCAGCUUUAAAACAACUCUACGGUACAUCAAUAUCCAAAUAUACAUUAUAUCAACAAUAUCUAUGAGAUAUUACAUCAGUCCACAUGAGAUCACUUGGACAUUUUAGCAAAACCCGCUAAUUAGAACGUGGUAAAAAAAAAGAGAAUAUAGCUGAAAAUGUAUUAACAUAAACACAAACUAUGUGAAUCCACUAUAAGUCUCAAAUUUAUCUUCAUUGACCUAUGCACAAAAAGAAAAUGGCCCAAAAAUUGCAAAAGAUAAAAACACAAAAUACAGAAGAAUAAAAAUAUUGUAUGAUAGAAGCCAAGCUUUUACUACUUACUAAUGAGCAUAAGAAAUAUUUCCAUAAAUGAUUACAUUCAAAGGUGUAUGUCUCUCUUUCGCCUCCUCAAAUCAAUAAUUUGCAGCUCUUCCAAAAUGACACAAGAUAUUAGUUCAAGAUGAGGCAAAUUUACCUAUUUUGGCCAUUGACCAUUUCAUAGCCCCCAUAAUGGCCAUAAAAUUCACCAAACAAACUUUAACUAGUCUACCACAAUUUUCCAAACAAAAAUUAUAUUUUUUUUAAAAAAAAGCAGAAGCAAGAUGCUCAAGAAACAUAGUACUUUAACCAGAUAAGUCCAUUCAAACACAUGAGAACAUUGAACCAGGUAUGCACUUAUGAAAAUUUUGCAUCCUCUUAGUCUCUUAGUGAUGAGCAUCCAAUUUAAAACCAUUUGGUAAUAAGUAAAGGAAUUUAACUUGAAUAUAAGAGUACAAUAAAAUCAAAAGACUUAAUAGAUAUCCGAUGACACCACUUAACACUUAUCAAAUAAGAAAUAACCUUCAAAGAAAUUAUCAGUUUUGCAUUUUCAUUUUACACCAAAAGACUUUUGAAUCAUGAGAGCACGCCUAAUGAUAUUCAAUGUUGUUAAAUAUAUUAUACAUGCGUCAGAGGAAAUUAAGUGAUAUUUUAGAGGCUAUAGAUUGAGCCACUACUGGUCAUAGUAAAAGACAUGCAUAGGCACUACAUUGUCCUUUGGCUAUCCCCUACCCCCAUCAUAAAACUGGAAACUUUUUGUUAGAUUUCUAUCAACCUCCAAAAAAUAAUACUAGAAGAGGUUUUGAACAAUCCAAACAGAAAAAAUAACAUAUUGCUACAGAAAUCUUGGUACUUGGAAGACAAGGUGUUUAUUCAAAGCAACGGUGAAUUUGUGCACAACCAUUUUCGCAACUGCAUUAAAGAAAAAAUCUAUUUAGCAAAGGAUUAAUAAAUUACUAAAUCCAAAAUCUAAAUUCCAAGUCAGUUAAUGAAUAAAGCACAUAUGAACUACCCAAAUUAAACUGUAAUAGAAGAUAAAUUUUCCUAAGACUCACGGAAGCUGGCGAGUGAGUUCGAUUGCUCGGUUACAGCCUCUGAGGAAAGGGGGAAAUUUGGAUGUUUAGGGUUUCUGGAAAUCAAAUAAUGUGGAUCGGGAGGGUAAUAUAUCUGUAGAGUAGAACUAAGAAGUGUUAGUAGUCCAGGAAGUCGGGUUUUUUUUUUUUGUAAAUUUUAGUCAAGCAAAGAAAAAAGAUGAGAAAGAAAAAGGAUCAAUAGACCGAGUAUGAAAGCAAGUAAAUCGUGGGAGAUGAUAUCAAAGAAAAAAAGAACCCUUGAUUUCUUUGUGAAAAUGGUGCCAUUUCAUAAAAAUUACAUAAAUUAGCAGUGUUUAUAGGAAAAAUGCUGCUAUUGCUUUACCUUUUGCAGCGUUAAUGCGAAAAACACUGCUAUUCUUUUACCUUUUG
rnacentral:lncRNA from 1 species